AUGUCUAUAGUUACAUACAUCAUUUGUAUAGUUCGUCACUAGAGAAGUUUCUCUGAGCAUGUAGAAAGAAACUAUGAGGAGGAGGCACAACAUUCUUUCCUGGGGUGAAGCCAGUUCUUGGUAUGGCUUCACUGCAACUGCCAUUUGCCAUUUCUUCUCUCCCUUGGGGUAGUGAGAGGGAGAGGAUGCUGUCUGAGUGGU
rnacentral:snoRNA from 1 species